UGUACACACAAUAUUUUUUUUUAUUUAGGGUACAUCUAGACAUCUAAUUUGGUUUUCCAUAAUGCAAUGAAUAGACAUUUAAACACCAUAAGCACAAAAAUGUACACACACACACACAUACACACACACACACACACACACACAUACACACACCAAAAAAAACAAAAAACAAACAAACAAAAAAAACGAAAAACAAAAAAUGCAAGCAGAUGGAUGGAUCAUCAAAACAGAGUCCAAUAUUUUAAUAUGUCCAUUUUUUUUCAAAAGCAGAAAAUGGUUCCCACAAGAUACAAAGAAUUUGAUAUUUCAGAUAAUCCUCUAGCAUAGAAAUUUGUGAAGCUCAGCUCACAAGCCAUCCUCCUGAAACUAAACAAAACCAAUUAGAUGUACCCAGCAUGUUCUGUCUCACACCAUCGGGUGGUACUCUUGUCAAUAGCCAUUUCUUACUGCUUUAGAUAGUGCAUCGCCCGCCGGGUGACAAACAGCCAGAAAACCAAGAGCUACACCAAUUUAUUUCAACACUAUCUUAUUGUGGUAACAGAGUCCCAUCCUCAAAAACAUAUCAUUGGUUUUUUUUUUUCCUAGAGAGAGAUUGGGGGAGGGGUCAGCGAGGACCCAGAAUGUUAUAUAAAAUAGGUCAAUAAAAGGGACAAGCAUGACAAAAAAAAUUAAGUGCAGACUAUAUGAGUAUUAUUCAGUUUGAAAGAUAGUUCUCAUUUUUAUAAAAAAAAUUGUAAUAAACCUAUAUUUUAGUUAUCAUUCAACAAAGAUAUUAAAGCUAUUCAGGAGAUGCCACCAAACUCUCAUAAAAGGAAACCAUCUCACCCUUACAAUGAGAAAAUGGUCAUUUCAAUGAGUUUCAGUACAUUGUAUACAUUUGGAGUUUAAGAUGAAUAUAUUUUUCCCUUAGCUGUUAAGUGUUUAGUUAAUACCAAACUUAAUAUAUGAUUUCACAUCAGUACAAGUGUUGUCAGAAGCAACCAUGAAAUAAUCAGAUACUUCAUGCUGGUGUUUUUUAGAAGUCUUUGAAUUUUUUGCUUCAUUUGUACAACAUGUACUGCUGAUGAAUGUUUGCCAGGUUGUUUGUCAAAAUGAAGCAAUCCAUCAUACGCACAGAAGCCAAGGGAUAGGUUAUAUGUCUCCAUGGUCUUACAUACAAAUGGCUGGUUCUCUUUAGUGAAAUUUAGCUCAUUGAAAUGUAAGUAUUUCUCUAGAAUUUUAAUCAAAAGGGACACACACACACCCCUCCAAAGACUUACAGAAACCCCCAGCGCAUCUCUGACAUUUCCCUGAAGCAAGAUGGAAAGGGAAGAACAAAUUCAACCAUGAUUUUUACUGAACUUCUCUAUUCCCAAGAGUCACAUACAGAGUCUCCGACAUGUCUGAUGUCAUUCAUUUAAAGAAAAGACUGUGCUUCCAUGCAGUUCAACAUAGAUACGAUAAGUGGGGUGUUAAAAGUUAGGGAAAAGUGGUUGUAAUUUUUCAACAAGGACCCAAUGAAGUAAAUUUCAGUUUCUUCCUUUGAUCAAGGUAAUAGACAGUGCAAGCAGACUCUGUUCCUUGUCCCAGCUGUGAUUCUAAGGCAAGCACAAAAGGUAAAAGAAUUCCUGAGUCUUUUCACUGGAGCAUUUACAUUUCGAUUCUGUAGCCAUUCGCAACAGAACAUCUGCAGGAAGAUAAUGAGCUUAAAUUACAAUUGACUUUGGAAGAAUAACAGACUCUCCUGUUCCUCAAUCAUGUAAUCAAUAGGGAAUUCUCCAGCAAUGAGAGCCACAGCCAUCUUUCAAGACAAUGUUAAGAUCUAAAUAAAAAAAAAAAUUCUAGCAUUCAGGGCCUUGUUAAGAAGGAAGUUUUUCUCUAAAGAACUUGGCUAGAGACAAAUCACACCCAUUUACAAAUGCGGUUCUCAAACGUGACAUCAAGCCAAUCUUGUUUCCUUUUACAGGGCUGUACAUUCAGGAUUCCAAAGAUGGCACACCUCUUUCAACAUCUAGUACUAUUUGUGGGUGUGUGAAUAAGUCCCCAGGUUUCUCACCUUUCAGCUGGGUUUUGCUUGUAAGCACUUCUAACCCAGACUUAAGCUUCAAACAAGAUGGAGAUACAGAUACCGAGCAUUCUCUGGGGAUUCAGGGACCCCCUUGAGUAAGACUUUCCAUAGCAUCCUAUCCUUCCUCAGACCCCAGACUCCAUCAGACCAAGUCAUGUGACUGUGGUCCUGCAAAUGUGCUGGUGCACUCUGGGCACUCAAUGAGGAUUUGUUGAAUGGGUGAAUUAUUGAAGAGGAGGCUAAAUUAAUUAUUUUUGACUUCUGACUAACAUAUAUUAAUGGGCAUUAUAAUUUUGCAUGCCAUAGCCAAAGCCAGAAUUUCUUCCAAGAUACAUCCUGGAAUCAAAUUAAACAUCUCAAAGGUUCAAGGACCUUUAAGUCAGAAGCAAUGAUUGAGAAUUCAUAUAUAUAUAUGAAAUCUCUCUAGUUCUUUACAAAAAUACAUGGAUAAUUUGGCAUGGAGGCUUCAAAAGUAGAACUUUAUUUGUAAAGUUUACAGAACACAAUGCAUUAGGUUUUUUUUAAGCUGUGACAUCAUAUUAGAUUACCUUACAAUACAAAGGACCCACAAGUCAUUGAAAGCACCAUUUCUAAACGUCGGCUUUCAAAUGCCUCUUCUUUCAUCUUUGACUCCUAGAAUAUACCCGAGAUAAAAAUUACUCACACGACAUCUCCCUCCCGAACAUCUACAUGUAUUUAUUUAUUUAACAGAUAUGUCUGUUUUCCCGGUACGUGCUAGAUUCUAGAAAUGCAAUGGGAAACAAGUUAACUGCAAUCCCAUCCUAAGGUUUGCUAUGAGGGACUCUUAUUCUGGCUAACUAGUUUAUCAUCCCCUGGGUCCUCCUCAUACAUGCUAGAGUAACAACAGCAACAAGAGCUAGCCUUCCCUGCAUGGCAACCAGUCAAUACUUCCUGCAUAGAUUUAUGUGAGCUCGCCUUUCUGAACACAAACACUCAUACUUGCCCCAUAGUUUAGCCAUAAAGCAGAGUUACAACCCAGGGAGGUUGGCAAUUUUAAGGGUCUUAAAAUUUCAUCAGUCUCGACCAGAUUACAGCUUCAAAGCUCCUCCCUCCAAAACUGUGUUCACUGGGCUCCAUUCACACACAGGAAAACUGAAGCACUGAUGCAUGCCUUUGCCAAGGUUACCUGAUUAGCUGGUAGAGUUGGGGGUUUGAACCCACAAAGUCCAACACAGUGGUCCAUGUGCCUAAGCACUAUCUGUAGGCUUUGGGGGUGGGGGGACACUCCUACAUUAAAAUGAAUGAAUCAUUGUAUAUAGAAAUAUCUUGAGUUUGUAAGGUAGUAACUAAAAGAUAUUAGUACAUUAUAACUCAUUGUAGCCUACAAAUUACAUCAGAAACAAGAACAGGAUUAGAACUGCAUCUUAUGUGAUAGCAUACUCUCAUGAACUACAAUACAUCAAGCCAGGGACAGGCAUACAAGUUCAGAUCCAGAAAAUUUCUACUUGGGAAAAUGUUUCAAUGACUUCAGAAUUAUUCAUUGUCAGCCACUGUGUCUAUUUGGUGCUACAAAAAAAAAUGGAAAGAACAAAUACCCCUGAUUGAAGGGCUUAUAAAUACACAGUGUGGAGAUGAACCAAGGGCAUUUCAUAUUUAUAGAAAGGAUUGGCCAAUUGUACCGUUUCUCACCAUUGCAUGUACAUUGUCUCUCCAAUUGUUUUUGCAUUGUUUUUAUGAAAGAACUGCAAAAUUGUGCAGUGGUUCAACCUGACCAAAGUGGUAUUACGCUGCUGGGAAGUAAAUGUAUUAGAUACC
rnacentral:lncRNA from 1 species